UACGGGGGGGGCAAGCGUUGUUCGGAAUUACUGGGCGUAAAGGGUUCGUAGGUGGCUUGUUAAGUCAGACGUGAAAUCCCUCGGCUCAACCGGGGAACUGCGUCUGAGACUGAUGAGCUCGAGUGCAGGAGAGGAACGCGGAAUUCCAGGUGUAGCGGUGAAAUGCGUAGAUAUCUGGAGGAACACCGGUGGCGAAGGCGGCGUUCUGGACUGCAACUGACGCUGAGGAGCGAAAGCGUGGGGAGCGAACAGG
rnacentral:rRNA from 1 species